rnacentral:rRNA from 1 species
GGGGAAUAUUGCGCAAUGGGCGAAAGCCUGACGCAGCGACGCCGCGUGGGGGAUGAAGGCCUUCGGGUUGUAAACCCCUUUCAGCUCUGACGAAGCCUUUGGGUGACGGUAGGGGCAGAAGAAGCGCCGGCCAACUACGUGCCAGCAGCCGCGGUAAGACGUAGGGCGCAAGCGUUGUCCGGAUUUAUUGGGCGUAAAGAGCUCGUAGGCGGCCUGUCGCGUCAAUCGUGAAAUCCUGCGGCUUAACGGUGGGGUUGCGGUUGAUACGGGCGGGCUGGAGUGCGGUAGGGGAGACUGGAAUUCCUGGUGUAGCGGUGAAAUGCGCAGAUAUCAGGAGGAACACCGGUGGCGAAGGCGGGUCUCUGGGCCGUUACUGACGCUGAGGAGCGAAAGCGUGGGGAGCGAAC